UCGAGGAUAUUUAGCAAUGGGCGAAAGCCUGACUAUGCGACGCCGCGUGAGGGAUGAAGGUUUUCGGAUCGUAAACCUCUUUCGAUAGGAAAGAAUGUCCCAUGUCAUAAUAUGGUGUGGGACUGACGGUACCUAGAGAAGAAGCCACGGCCAACUCCGUGCCAGCAGCCGCGGUAAUACGGGGGUGGCGAGCGUUACUCGGAUUUAUUGGGUGUAAAGGGCAGGUAGGUGGUUAUGCAAGUCGAGGGUGAAAUCUCCCAACUUAAUUGGGAAACUGCCCUCGAUACUACAUGACUUGAGUGUGGAAGAGGAGAACGGAAUUCCCGGUGUAAGGGUGAAAUCUGUAGAUAUCGGGAGGAACACCAGUGGCGAAGGCGGUUCUCUGGUCCACUACUGACACUGAGCUGCGAAAGCUAGGGGAGCAAACAGG
rnacentral:rRNA from 1 species